CUCCAGACUCCUACGGGAGGCAGCAGUGGGGAAUAUUGCACAAUGGGGGAAACCCUGAUGCAGCAACGCCGCGUGAGUGAGGAAGUAUUUCGGUAUGUAAAGCUCUAUCAGCAGGGAAGAAAAUGACGGUACCUGACUAAGAAGCCCCGGCUAACUACGUGCCAGCAGCCGCGGUAAUACGUAGGGGGCAAGCGUUAUCCGGAUUUACUGGGUGUAAAGGGAGCGUAGACGGCAAUGCAAGCCAGAUGUGAAAGCCCGGGGCUCAACCCCGGGACUGCAUUUGGAACUGUGUAGCUGGAGUGUCGGAGAGGCAGGCGGAAUUCCUAGUGUAGCGGUGAAAUGCGUAGAUAUUAGGAGGAACACCAGUGGCGAAGGCGGCCUGCUGGACGAUGACUGACGUUGAGGCUCGAAAGCGUGGGGAGCAAACAGGAUUAGAUACCCUCGUAA
rnacentral:rRNA from 1 species